rnacentral:lncRNA from 1 species
ACACAAUUCUAAUGGGCUGGAAAAUCAAGUGCUAUCUAGCUGGGUCUCUCAAGAACGUGGAGUCUCAGGAGGUUAUAGGCAAACUAUCAGCCAUCUUGUCCACGGUCAUACAGAGCCAUGGUCUUCAUACCCUGCACCAGUUGACAGUGAGUUAUGCUGAGCAGACACUACUGUGGGCAGACGAGCGAGAUGUCCAGCUACCCCAGCAAGCUGUCAAACAGUCUCCCUGUGGAGAAGACAGGCCCAGGUCUCUGGGUGGGAGGCUGCCAACUUUUUGGAAAAGGCCUUUGCCGCAACUACUGUGUGGGCCUCGGCAGAGGCGAGGGUGAUGGGAACAGCGAGGUUUCAUGGGAGAUAUCACCAACAGUAACUGUUUUAAACAUU